rnacentral:rRNA from 1 species
AUUGGAGGGCAAGUCUGGUGCCAGCAGCCGCGGUAAUUCCAGCUCCAAUAGCGUAUAUUAAAGUUGUUGCGGUUAAAAAGCUCGUAGUUCGAGUUCAGUUUCGGACUGGGGUGGGAGGUCACCGCCCGGUGCUUGCCCCCUAGGCUCCGAACAGCUUCCGUGAGUGGAAGCCAAGCCGGUUCUGGCGGGGUGCUCUUUACCGAGUGUGCCGUACGGCCGGCCAGUUCACCUUGAAUAAAUGAGAGUGCUCAAAGCAGGCUACUCUGGAAUACAAUGCCGGAAUUUUCCUUGCAUGGAAUGAUGGAAGAUGAUCUCGGUUCCAUUUUGUUGGUGGUGGGAGCCCGAGGUAAUGAUAAAGAGGGACUGUCGGGGGCAUCCGUACUACGACGCGAGAGGUGAAAUUCAGUGACCGUCGUAGGACGAACAACAGCGAAAGCAUUUGCCAAGAAUGUCUUCGUUGAUCAAGAACGAAAGUUAGAGGAUCGAAGGCGAUCAGAUACCGCCCUAGUUCUAACCCUAAACGAUGCUGACUAGCAAUUCGCCGUCGUUAUUCCCAUGACGUGGCGAGACGCCCCCGGGAAACCUCAAGUCUUUGAGUUCCGGGGGUAGUAUGGUUGCAAAAGUGAAACUUAAAGGAAUUGACGGAAGGGCACCACCAGGAGUGGAGCCUGCGGCUUAAUUUGACUCAACACGGGAAAGCUCACCAGGCCCGGACACCAGAAGGAUUGACAGAUUAAGAGCUCUUUCUCGAUUU